UAAUUUUUCUCCUUUAGCAUUAUUCUUGCUCUUAACUUUCAUCUGUUUUAUAUAUCUUGUGUAUUAAUUAAAAGUGACCCAACUACGCCUCAAAAUGUUAUCCUAACGUUUGCUUUCUGUUCUGGUGUUUCAGUUGCAAAAGAAUUUGAAGAACAAGGUUUACUGUGACAAGCUAGAUUAUUGAAGUCUUGAGUGUAUUAAACUGCAAGGCCAAUGUAACAUUGUGACCCAAGUCAAGUGGGUUUCAAAUUCUAUUUUAUCACAUUUAUAUAAAACUCAACCUUGCUCGAGCA
rnacentral:lncRNA from 1 species